CAGAGUCGCAAUACUCCGUAAACCAUUGUGAACGUUACCUUAACCGUUGCUCCGGCGGGCGCCCACGGGGGGCACACCAAACUCUUGCAUUGUAUGGCCUCUCUGAGUAUUCUGUACUGAAUAAGUCA
rnacentral:misc_RNA from 1 species